UACGUAGGGACCAAGCGUUGUUCGGAUUUACUGGGCGUAAAGGGCGCGUAGGCGGCUUGACAAGUCACUUGUGAAAUCUCCGGGCUUAACUCGGAACGGCCAAGUGAAACUGUCAUGCUAGAGUGCAGAAGGGGCAAUCGGAAUUCUUGGUGUAGCGGUGAAAUGCGUAGAUAUCGAGAGGAACACCUGCGGCGAAGGCGGGUUGCUGGGCUGACACUGACGCUGACAGCGCGAAAGCUAGGGGAGCGAACGGG
rnacentral:rRNA from 1 species